CCUACGGGGGGCAGCAGUCGAGAAUCAUUCACAAUGGGGGAAACCCUGAUGGUGCGACGCCGCGUGGGGGAAUGAAGGUCUUCGGAUUGUAAACCCCUGUCAUGUGGGAGCAAAUUAAAAAGAUAGUACCACAAGAGGAAGAGACGGCUAACUCUGUGCCAGCAGCCGCGGUAAUACAGGGGUCUCAAGCGUUGUUCGGAAUCACUGGUCGGAAAGCGUGCGUAGGCUGUUUCGUAAGUCGUGUGUGAAAGGCGCGGGCUCAACCCGCGGACGGCACAUGAUACUGCGAGACUAGAGUAAUGGAGGGGGAACCGGAAUUCUCGGUGUAGCAGUGAAAUGCGUAGAUAUCGAGAGGAACACUCGUGGCGAAGGCGGGUUCCUGGACAUUAACUGACGCUGAGGCACGAAGGCCAGGGGAGCGAAAGGGAUUAGAUACCCUGGUAGUC
rnacentral:rRNA from 1 species